rnacentral:lncRNA from 1 species
UCCUCUGUAAAAAUUCUCAAGGGCCACUUCCUUCUUUUUGAGUUUUUUUGGGAAGGAUUUUGAGGCUCCUCUGCAUGAUUAACCAUUUUUCUGGAUUGUUCUCCCUUCCCUCGUUAGUCAGAAAUCUGAGUCAGCUGUGCAGGUUCUCUGUGUAUGGAGUUAAGGAGCAAGGAUUUUGCCUGGGGCAAGCUCUCUAUUCUCCACAGUCCUUUGCAGCUCUUCUCGGUGCCACCCUCCUAGGGACGCCCAGGGUCUGCCCUCUCCUGCCUGCCUGGGUUUCUGGUCUAGCUGCUUUCAGGGAUACUCACUGGGGGGGGGGGUCCUAGUCAGCUCCUAAGGACCCAGAAGUACCCCCUGCUCACUCUAGAAGCACUCCUUGCUCACUCCCUGGCUCUGGGCUGCCUCUAGGCACCUAAGGUCUGUGCUCUCUCGUGUGCUGGGGUUUUAAGCCUAGCUGCCUUCAGGGGUGGGUCCCCUGCUGUCCUAGUCAGCUCCCAAGGACCCUGAGGUGCUCCCCUACUCACUCCAGAGACACCCCUUGCUCUUUCGUCUUGGCCUGCGCUGGAUCUGGCUCUGUAGAUUGUGGGGGAUGGUAGAUCGACUCACGUUUGGGUGGAAGUCCUUUCACCCUCUUAUAGACUGGAAUAGCCCCAAUCUCACGCACCUUCAAUGCUGUUCCCUACUUUACCGCUCCUCUGAAAAUGAUUCUUAAGGUCUUUUGAGAAGAAAGUGUUCAAUGGAGUUAGGGUAUGCAGAAAGGUGGAGCAUAAUGAGGAUUGAGAAAAGGUUAUUAGAUUUGGCAAUUAAUAUUAUUGGUAAUUUGGAGGAGAGCAGUUUCAGUUAAGUCAAACUCUCAAAGAAUUCAGAACCUUAUUUAAGCUAUUCUCCAAUUGACAGGUGUCUUCAUUUGUUUCCAGUUCUUUGCUUUUACAAAAAGUAUUACUAUAUAUAUUUCAAGGUAUAAAGAGGCUUUUUGUCUGCCAAUGGCGCAUCACUUUAGACUCUUAAGAAGGAUAAAGUGCUGGACUAGGGAGUCAGGAAGACCUGAUUUCAAACCCUAACUGCUAAUUGGCCAUGUUAUUAAGUAUAGAAGUGCAAAAGAAAGGGUCCUAGAAGGGCAGCUACGUGGCACAGUAGAUAAAAGCACCAGGUCUGGAGUCUGGAGGACUAGGAUUCAAAUCUAGCCUGAGACACUUACUAUCCUAGGCAAGAACUCAGCCCAAUUGCCUAACUCUUGCCGUUUUUGUUUAAAAAAAAAAUACUCAGAGUCAGGUAGGGGGUGGGAACAGGAGCUUCGGGACCUCAGAGCCUACUGCUACUUGCUUG